AUUGAACGCUGGCGGCAGGCCUAACACAUGCAAGUCGAGCGAGCGGCGGGCGGGUGAGUACUGUCUGGGAAACUGGCUGCGGGGGGGGGAUAACGGCUAGAGACGGUAACUAAGACUGCAUACCAUCAGAUGUGCCCAGAUGUGAUUAGCGAGUUGGUGGGGUAACGGCUCACCGAGGCGACGAUCCCUAGCUGGUCUGAGAGGAUGAUCAGCCACACGGGAACUGAGACACGGUCCAGACUCCUACGGGAGGCAGCAGUGGGGAAUAUUGGACAAUGGGCGAAAGCCUGAUGCAGCCAUGCCGCGUGUGUGAAGAAGGUCUUCGGGUUGUAAAGCACUUUCAGCGGGGAGGCGUUACCAACAGAAGAAGCACCGGCUAACUCCGUGCCAGCAGCCGCGGUAAUAC
rnacentral:rRNA from 1 species